GAUGAACGCUGGCGGCGUGCCUAAUACAUGCAAGUCGAGCGAACAGACGAGGAGCUUACUCCUCUGACGUUAGCGGCGGACGGGUGAGUAACACGUGGAAACCUACCUUUUAGGCUGGGAUAACUUCGGGAAACCGGAGAUAAUACCGGAUUACAUGUUGAAUCGCAUGGUUCAACAGUGAAAGACGGUCUUGCUGGCACUUAUAGCUUGAUCCGCGGCGCAUUAGCUAGUUGGUAAGGUAACGGCCUACCAAGGCAACGAUUGGUAGCCGACCGGAGAGGGUGAUCGGCCACACUGGAACUGGGACACGGUCCAGACUACUACGGGAGGCAGCAGUAGGGAAUCUUCCGCAAUGGGCGAAAGCCUGACGGAGUAACGCCGCGUGAGUUAAGAAGAUCUUCGGAUCGUAAAACUCUGUUAUUAGGGAAGAACAAAUGUGUAAGUAACUAUGCACGUCUUGACGGUACCUAAUCAGAAAGCCACGGCUAACUACGUG
rnacentral:rRNA from 1 species